GACGAACGCUGGCGGUGUGCUUAACACAUGCAAGUCGAACGGUAAGGCCCUUUCGGGGGUACACGAGUGGCGAACGGGUGAGUAACACGUGAGUAACCUGCCCUCAUCUCUGGGAUAACAGCCGGAAACGGUUGCUAAUACUGGAUAUGAGCUUGCAAGGCAUCUUGUGGGUUGGAAAGAUUUUUUUUGGUUGGGGAUGGACUCGCGGCCUAUCAGCUUGUUGGUGAGGUAGUGGCUCACCAAGGCUUCGACGGGUAGCCAGCCUGAGAGGGCGACCGGCCACAUUGGGACUGAGAUACGGCCCAAACUCCUACGGGAGGCAGCAGUGGGGAAUAUUGCACAAUGGACGGAAGUCUGAUGCAGCAACGCCGCGUGCGGGAUGACGGCCUUCGGGUUGUAAACCGCUUUCAAUUGUGACGAAGCUUUUUUGUGACGGUAGCAGUAGAAGAAGCACCGGCUAACUACGU
rnacentral:rRNA from 1 species